AUGCUUCCUCAACCCAACCGUAGCCAAGUGAGCACCACAUCCUCCUCACCUCUGCCACUUCGCCGGAGAAGAAGGAUAAUAAGAAGAAGAGAAGCAGAUCGCGCCAUGAGCAAAAAAACACCUGUGUCGUUAGGCAGUACACCGUCAGGCCGUCCGCAGUUGAAAUCUGUGACAGCCGCAAAUGCAACGCCAGGCAGUACACAGUCCAAAUCUGUGCCACAGGCCCAUGCAGCGUCAGGCAGUAGUACACAGUUCAAAUUUGUGCAGCCUAAGAAGAAGGGGAAGGGGGUGCUGCUUGGUCAGAAGAACAAGCCACAGACCUAA
rnacentral:rRNA from 1 species